CUUCCCUCUUCGCUGUGAGCUCAGAGCAGCAGGACAAAGUGCUCGGGACAAGGACAGAGGGCUGAGAGUAGCCAUGGGCUCUGGAGGAGAGAGCCUCCUGGGGGGCAGGGGUUCCCUGCCUCUGCUGCUCCUGCUCAUCAUGGGAGGCAUGGCUCAGGACUCCCCGCCCCAGAUCCUAGUCCACCCCCAGGACCAGCUGUUCCAGGGCCCUGGCCCUGCCAGGAUGAGCUGCCGAGCCUCGGGCCAGCCACCUCCCACCAUCCGCUGGCUGCUGAAUGGGCAUCCCCUGAGCAUGGUGCCCCCAGACCCACACCACCUCCUGCCUGAUGGGACCCUUCUGCUGCUACAGCCCCCUGCCCGGGGACAUGCCCACAAUGGCCAGGCCCUGUCCACAGACCUGGGUGUCUACACAUGUGAGGCCAGCAACCGGCUUGGCACGGCAGUCAGCAGAGGCGCUCGGCUGUCUGUGGCUGGUGAGGCCUGGGAGAGGAGCUUCAGGGUGGGGCAGACCUGGGUGGAGACAUCUGAGUUGAAUGUUCAAGGGAACAUCUGAGAGGUCAGUGGGAUACCUGUGAGCAGAGGCCUGGGCUGGAAGGCUUGGGAGGGCAAGCUGGGGUGGGGCUGGCCCGAAAU
rnacentral:sRNA from 1 species